UCGAGAAUCUUCGGCAAUGGACGCAAGUCUGACCGAGCGACGCCGCGUGCGGGAUGAAGGCCUUCGGGUUGUAAACCGCUGUCAGUAGGGAGGAAAUGCAUGGGGGUCAUCCUUCAUGUUUGACCGAUCUGCAGAGGAAGUACGGGCUAAGUUCGUGCCAGCAGCCGCGGUAACACGAACCGUACGAACGUUAUUCGGAAUCACUGGGCUUAAAGAGUGCGUAGGCGGCCUGGAAGGUUGGAUGUGAAAUCCCUCGGCCCAACCGAGGAACUGCGUUCAAAACCGUCAGGCUUGAGGGAGGCAGAGGUGAGCGGAACUGAUGGUGGAGCGGUGAAAUGCGUUGAUAUCAUCAGGAACACCGGUGGCGAAGGCGGCUCACUGGGCCUCUUCUGACGCUGAGGCACGAAAGCUAGGGGAGCGAACGGGAUUAGAUACCCCCGUAGUCC
rnacentral:rRNA from 1 species